rnacentral:rRNA from 1 species
AUUGAACGCUGGCGGCAGGCCUAACACAUGCAAGUCGAACGAGAGGCGGACGGGUGAGUAAUGUAUGGGAAAGUGAGCGAUGGAGGGGGAUAACGAAUGGAAACGGUAGCUAAUACCGCAUACCAGCGGAUGGGCCGAGAUGGGAUUAGGUAGGAGGUGGGGUAACGGCUUACCUAGGCGACGAUCCCUAGCUGGUCUGAGAGGAUGACCAGCCACACUGGAACUGAGACACGGUCCAGACUCCUACGGGAGGCAGCAGUGGGGAAUAUUGCACAAUGGGCGCAAGCCUGAUGCAGCCAUGCCGCGUGUAUGAAGAAGGCCUUCGGGUUGUAAAGUACUUUCAGCGAGGAGGCGUUACUCGCAGAAGAAGCACCGGCUAACUCCGUGCCAGCAGCCGCGGUAAUUC